rnacentral:rRNA from 1 species
GCAUAUCAAUAAGCGGAGGAAAAGAAACUAACAAGGAUUCCCUUAGUAACGGCGAGUGAAGCGGGAAGAGCUCAAAUUUGAAAUCUUCAAGGUUCUACCUUGACGAAUUGUAGUUUAAAGAAGUGUUUUCUGUUAGAUGAGUAGCAAAAGUUCCUUGGAAUGGGACAUCAUAGAGGGUGAGAAUCCCGUAUUUGGUUAUUCAUUCUAGCUUUGUGAUACACUUUCAAAGAGUCGGAUUGUUUGGGAAUGCAGUCCAAAAUGGGUGGUAAAUUUCAUCUAAAGCUAAAUAUUGGCGAGAGACCGAUAGCGAACAAGUACCGUGAGGGAAAGAUGAAAAGAACUUUGAAAAGAGAGUUAAACAGUACGUGAAAUUGUCAAAAGGGAAGCGUUUGACACCAGUGUUGUUUUUCCGAAAAUCAAUUACGAAUGGCUUGAUUUUGUGUUGUAUUGACCUUAUCAGCUUUCUGCACUUUUUUCGAGUCUUUCUUAAUGCACUUUUCGGUUAACAAGUCAACAUCAAUUUCUUUUGUUGUAAAAGAGUAUUCGGAAGGUGGCUUUCUUUUCGGAGAAAGUGUUUAUAGCCCUAUACUUCUACAAUCGGAGAGAUUGAGGUCUGCAGCGUAGAUCCUUCGGGGUUAGAUACACUUGUGCUAAGUUGUAGCUUUUCAUAGACAACUUGUUGACUAUGUUUAGUCAUGCGGCUUACUCGCUUAUGCUAUUUUACCUACGCUUAGGAUGUUGACAAAAUGGUUUUAAACGACCCGUCUUGAAACACGGACC